rnacentral:tRNA from 1 species
GGUGAUCUAGCAAAAAAUAGUGCAUUAAACUUAGAAUUUAAAGAUAGUCAAACUGUUCACUU